GAUGAACGCUGGCGGCGUGCCUAAUACAUGCAAGUCGAGCGAAGCGGGGACGGGUGAGUAAGAAGUGGAUAAGCUCCUAUAAGAGGGGGAUAACUUCGGGAAGAAGGAGCUAAAACAGAGAAUAAGUGCUGGAUCCGCGCUGCCUUGGCUAGUUGGUAAGGUAACGGCUUACCAAGGCACCGAUGCAUAGCUGACCUGAGAGGGUGAUCGGCCACACUGGAACUGAGACACGGUCCAGACUCCUACGGGAGGCAGCAGUAGGGAAUCUUCCGCAAUGGGCGAAAGCCUGACGGAGCAACGCCGCGUGAGUGAUGAAGGUCUUCGGAUCGUAAAACUCUGUUAUUAGGGAAGCGGUACCUAAUCAGAAAGCCACGGCUAACUACGUGCCAGCAGCCGCGGUAAUUC
rnacentral:rRNA from 1 species